rnacentral:rRNA from 1 species
GUGCAGCAGCCGCGGUAAUACGUAGGUGGCAAGCGUUGUCCGGAUUUACUGGGCGUAAAGGAUGUGUAGGCGGAUAUUUAAGUGAGAUGUGAAAUCCCCGGGCUUAACUUGGGGGCUGCAUUUCAAACUGGAUGUCUAGAGUGCAGGAGAGGAAAGCAGAAUUCCUAGUGUAGCGGUGAACUGCUUGAAGAUUAGGAAGAAUACCAGUGGCGAAGGCGGCUUUCUGGACUGUAACUGACGCUGA